UACGAAGGGGGCUAGCGUUGCUCGGAAUCACUGGGCUUAAAGCGCACGUAGGCGGCUUUUUAAGUCAGGGGUGAAAUCCUGGAGCUCAACUCCAGAACUGCCUUUGAUACUGAGAAGCUUGAGUCCGGGAGAGGUGAGUGGAACUGCGAGUGUAGAGGUGAAAUUCGUAGAUAUUCGCAAGAACACCAGUGGCGAAGGCGGCUCACUGGCCCGGUACUGACGCUGAGACGCGAAAGCGUGGGGAGCGAACCGG
rnacentral:rRNA from 1 species